rnacentral:rRNA from 1 species
AGGUGCGAUCAUACCAGCACUAAUGCACCGGAUCCCAUCAGAACUACGAAGUUAAACGUGCUUGGGCGAGAGUAGUACUAAGAUGGGUGACCUCUUGGGAAGUCCUCGUGUUGCACCCC